rnacentral:lncRNA from 1 species
UCUAAAGAACCGAUAUCCUACUAUAGAGCCAGGGUUUUAAGCCCUACUCAAACCUGUGCGCCUUCCUCUCCUCUGUAUCCACCUGGUGUGGAGAAAAUCUCGCCAAUUCAUUGAACUUGACGGCAUACUGGAGAACUGUCAUAUCCCCCUGCUUAAGUUCUAGGAACUUAAUCUCCAUCCUACCCUGCAUGUUAGUAGGGAAAUAGUUUUCGAAGAAAACCUUCUUAAACUGUUCCCACG